rnacentral:lncRNA from 1 species
CGUUUUUGAUUGCAUAUGACAUGCGGCGAUGUUCUGGUGCUCUGAUUCUUGUCAGAUACAUUUCUCAGAAUCAACGAUCUUCCGUCGAUGAGCCAGCCGUCACAGAGCUCGACCUAAUCAGCAAAAGAUGAUAGGAGACUCGAUUACAAGAGAGUCUAUCAAGUACUUUAGUGAGAAUUCAUAAAAAUGAACAUGCUAGCUAGUUUGAUUAAUAAAAACUUUAUCAAAUCAUCCUAUGAUAUAGGAUCAAAAUUUAUCCUUUGCAAAAAGAAAUCAUAAAAUUAGUAAUGUACCUUAGUAGCAAUACGACAAACAAAACAAAGCAUAUACGAACACAGCAUGGCUUUCCUUUCUUGGUUGAAGGUUACUGCAUAGACCGCAAAUCUUUGUCAAUUUCAACCUUCCUUUCUGACUUUUAUUGCAAGUAAAGACUUUCUUUUCUCCUCCCUUGUCUUCUCGUACUCUUCCAUAGUCAUCCCCUUCGGGAUCACGUUGAACGAGUCAAAUAAUACACACAACACACACUACAUCAUCGUUUCCCAGGUGGCAGAAGCAAAACAGAUAGACACAAUGUAAACACCAAGCAGUAGUACUGAGGUGCAUUACCACAACAUCAAACAGUAGUACAAGCCAAACCAGAGAACAACAAACAUCAAGGAUACCUUGAAAAGAUUUCUUCAGAUAACCUGAGGUGCAUUAUUUAUUCCUCAAAAUGUCAUGUUCGGAAUAAGUUCACUUGUCACCCCUAGAUGUUGAUUUUUCAGUCAACUAGCUAAAAUAACUAUGAUAAUAAACCUUUAGUGUAAUUAAUACAUGAAACCUUCUGUACUAAUAAAAGUCCUGCAUGGAAUUGCCAAAUACCCCUUAAUAUUGUCGUUUUCAUGUUAAACAAAUCCUAUUUCAAUCUUUUAUGUCAUGAAAUAAACAAAAUGAACUAAACCAAGACAUGGUGAAGUUAUUUGUCAAAGUCACGAAAGUGGCAUACAUGCAAAAGUGUGCAAAUAACAAUUAAUAUCAAGAGCAAGUUUAAUGUGUAUAUCUAAAAGGGUAAUACAUUAAUAGACAGUUUAAUGUGUAUAUGUGCCAUUCGAAGUUACAUUCGUUCGUUUUCUGUUAAGCAUAACACAAGAGCAAGUUUUCGAAGAAUUAAAUACUAAACAGUUUCUGUUCCAGUUACCAUGCAACUAUAACUAUUAGCUACUUAGCUUAAACAAUGGAAAACUUGAAGGAAAGAAAUAAACAAUUAAUAUCAAGCCAAAUUACAACAUAGAUACACAAAAGCAUUAAAUUACAGCACAAAGACUUCAACCUGGAAACUACAACUACAUAAAGAUGAUCAGUUAUCCAAAUAUGUUAUUUGAGCAAUCAAAAACAUAAAAAAAUAUAACUGAAAUAAAUUGAAGCAAAAAGUGGAAUAAGAAGUGCUCAAAUUCAUAAAUAAUUACUUUUAGUUACAACAAAGUAUACAACAAUAACAACAAGACCGUAAGUCCCAAUUAUUUGAGGCAACUACAUGGAUCUUUCAUCAUCAUUGAGAUAUGUAAAAAGUUAUAUGUUUAGUUAAGUUCAGAAUACUUAAAUCUUUAUUUAUAGUUUCUAUUAAAGUUUGUAAGUCUUCCUCUAUUUCUCUCGUACCAUUAACAUUAAUCAUUUUAUCUCUUCUGACUAUCAUAUUCGGAAGUCUCCUAAACAUAUGUCCAUACCAUUUUAAACGAUUUUCUCUCAUCUUAUUCUUUAUUGAAGCGUUACUUAGUUGUUCUCAAAUAACAAUAUUUCUUUUCGUACUUUUCCUAAUAACUCCACACAUCCAUCUUAACAUUCUCAUCUCGACAAUACAAAUUUUUCAUAUAUGUUAUUUCUUAACUACCCAACACUCAUAUCCAUAAAGUAUUAUUGGUCUCACAAUGAUCUUAUAAAUUUUUUUUUUUAAUCUCAAAGGUAUCCGAUGAUCAGAUAAGACUCCUGAUGUCCUUUGCCAUUUUAAUCUUCAUGUUUUUACUUUAUAAAUAAUAUCUUCAUUGGUCCCUCCAUCUUGUUGAAUAAUUGAUUCAAGAUACCUAAGACUUUUACUUAAAGGAACUUAUUGUUCAUCCAACUUAUCUAUAUUCUUUUAUCUAUUUUUAAGAUUACUAAAAUUACAUCUCAUAUAUUCAAUUUUGUCCUAUUAAAUCUAAAAUCUUUAGUUUCUAAUGAUUUUCUCCAUAGCUCACAUAUAUAAUUAAUUCCACUUAGGCUCUCAUCAACUAAGACAAUAUCAUCAACAAAUAACAUCCACUAGGGAGCUCUAUCAUAUAAGUGACCAGUAAGUUCAUCCAUUAUCAAUGUGAAAAGGUAAGGACUUUAUGUGAAUCAUUGAUGCAAUACUAUGCUAAUAGAAAAUUCAAUACCCACACUUCCUAUAGUUCUAACACUAAUAAUUACAUUAUCAUACAUAUAUUUAAUAUCAAUAUAAUUUAUGGAUAUACCUUUCUUUAAUAAAACCCACCAUAAUAUGAGAAAGAAGAUUUCAAAUUGAACAAACAAUCCAAAGGAGAUCUUGGUUGUCUCAAUAAAUAAGAUGAGUUGAAUAAGAUUAGUAACAUGAGGAGAGAUUGAGGGAGACCAAAGAAAUUUUACUGCAGAUAAAAAAAAUAUUUGUUUGCUCUUGGUGUGACUACUGAUGGUCACUUACAUAGAGCUCAAUGUUAAGAUGAAUUUUGAGAAGCUAGACAUUAUGGUAGUUGCUGUAUUCAGACAAAAACUAGGAGAAACAACAAUAAUAAUUUGCAACCUCAGUAUGGUGGUAAAUGAACCACUACGUUCAAAUUAGCAAAAGAAGGAAAAAGAAACAUUAUGUGUCUAUAUAUACAUGGAUCCUGUUGGUAAAGAGAUGCCACAUAUACUAAAGAAACAUUUGAAUGAGUAGGAAACUAGGUAAAAUAAAUGUGCGAUCUAAUAUAUCCCAACUUCUGCAAAAUUGCACCAAAACUCAUCAAUUAAAGUUUGUGAUAAAUUUCCCAUGUUUCAGUGUACAAUAUAUACAUAUAAAUUUUGAAAAUAAUCAUGAAUUCAUGAAAGUUCACAUAACAGUAUAACACAACAAACAACCAUGAAGUAACUGAUUGAAAUGAACAUUUUGUUCUUUGAAAAAACUUGUACUCAAUAAAUUAUAAAAGGUUGUUUUUGAGCCAUGAAAUAUUAGAGCACUAUAUCACAAUAAUGUAUGUAAGGAAAGAAGCUACCUUAUCCUCCUUUUCUUCUGUCUCAGGAGGCACACCCUAUUUAUUGUCCUUGCUCGUAUCUGUUGGUGGUUUUUUUCCUGUUCUAGCUGCUUUUCGGUUGCAACAGUCUUAUCAGCAUUAGAAACUUCAUCCCUCUCACUGUCUUCUAAUACAGUUCCACAAACGUAACAAGAUCAGUGAUGGCAACUACAAACAUAGCUUCACCAAAAUUCUUCCGAGUAUAUCGUGCAUCACAAACAAAGAGGAAAUCUUAACUGUGCCACAGUUACCAGGUCCUGCACCAUGGCGUUUAGUCUCAUAACCUCAGCCUGUGCCACUGCGCCACUCAUACAACCUACGUGAGGACCGUUCAGAGUCACCUCCGGAGUCCUCAAUCCCAUUGCCACCACUGCUCCCCAUAUCUUCCACAUGGCCACCACCAAAUGGCUGACGCGGCGGCGUUCCCUCUCCAGAAGCCUAUCGCCAUUACCACCACCACCACCACCAUAUCCCUUAGAGAUCCCAUUGGCAUUGCCAUUUCCAAAGUAACGAUUUGGGUACGUCCCGCCACCUCGACCACCUCUUCCAUCCCUUGUUUCGCCACGGCCAGCACCACCGCGUGAUGGUGCAGCAUUUCUCGCCUCCCUCACUAUAUGCCAAACACACUCGGAAGCUUCGCUUAGGACAUUAGGUCAUUGAAAAAAGAUCAAAUUUCAACGGAGACCACACAAGACCCAAAAUUCGAUAGGAAACAUCACAAAGGUCGACGUUUCGAAAAGCACCGCGCUGAACCAAACCAAAUGCGAUUCGGACUAACCGGAAUGAACAAGGUGGGGAAAAGAAGUUCUUGUGGGAAGCUUCGCUACUGCCGAGGAGGUCGAAGGGGUUCGCGGUGGCCAUCUCCGCGAAGGGCCGCCUCAAUCUCCGGCCACAGAGCGGCUGCAGCGAAGCCUAUAACCGGAACAACCACACCCGCGAUGCGAUCUCCAUGGGAGAUCCUAAAUGAAUCAGGGGCCAGACGCCCCUCGGGAGAGCAGAAAGCUAGGGUUUGGCUGGCGCCGCGGGUGUGGGUGUUCAUGUCUAAAGUAUUCUUUCAGGAAAGGAA